rnacentral:rRNA from 1 species
UACGAAGGGGGCUAGCGUUGCUCGGAAUGACUGGGCGUAAAGGGCGCGUAGGCGGCUUGCACCGUCAGAUGUGAAAUUCCUGGGCUUAACCUGGGGGCUGCAUUUGAUACGUGUGGGCUUGAGUGCGGAAGAGGGUCGUGGAAUUCCCAGUGUAGAGGUGAAAUUCGUAGAUAUUGGGAGGAACACCAGAGGCGAAGGCGGCCACCUGGACAGAGAUUGACGCUGAGACGCGAAAGCGUGGGGAGCAAACAGG